rnacentral:rRNA from 1 species
UACGGAGGAUCCGAGCGUUAUCCGGAUUUAUUGGGUUUAAAGGGUGCGCAGGCGGGAGAUUAAGUCGGCGGUGAAAUUUUGCAGCUCAACUGUAACAUUGCCGUUGAUACUGGGGAGCUAGGAUUUGGUUGCUGUGGGUGGAAUGUGUGGUGUAGCGGUGAAAUGCUUAGAGAUCACACAGAAUAUCGAUUGCGAAGGCAGCUCACAAAGCCAAGAUUGACGCUGAGGCACGAAAGUGUGGGGAUCAAACAGGAUUA